GACAGAGGGUGCGAACGUUGCUCGGAAUUACUGGGCGUAAAGCGCGUGUAGGCGGGUGAUCAAGUCAGGUGUGAAAUCCCUGGGCUCAACCCAGGAACUGCACUUGAAACUGGUUGCCUUGAGUGUUGGAGAGGGAAGCGGAAUUCCUGGUGUAGAGGUGAAAUUCGUAGAUAUCAGGAGGAACACCGGUGGCGAAGGCGGCUUCCUGGACAACUACUGACGCUGAGACGCGAAAGCGUGGGGAGCAAACAGGAUUAGAAACCCCCGUAGUCC
rnacentral:rRNA from 1 species